UACGUAGGAUCCAAGCGUUGUCCGGAAUUACUGGGCGUAAAGCGCGCGUAGGCGGCUUUGUAAGUUAGAGGUGAAAGCCCGGGGCUCAACCCCGGAAUUGCCUUUAAGACUGCAUCGCUUGAAUCCGGGAGAGGUGAGUGGAAUUCCGAGUGUAGAGGUGAAAUUCGUAGAUAUUGGGAAGAACACCGGUGGCGAAGGCGGCUCACUGGCUCGUAACUGACGCUCAUGCACGACAGCGUGGGGAUCAAACAGG
rnacentral:rRNA from 1 species